CGGAGGUCUCUGGGGCUGCGCGCCAGCUGCGCGUCCCUGCGGAGUUCCCGUGCGCCACGAGGCUCGAUGGCGCGCGCCUCCCGACCCGUCCAGCCCGGGCGCGGCGACACCUUUCUUUGCCACCUGGAACCAACACCUUGGUUCCCUUUUGAGGGAUCAGAACUUGUUUAGUUGGAAUACGGCACAAUUUUGCAUUUUUCUGCCGUCUCGAUUCCGACUUCAGAAUUCUGGUGUCCAGCCCGGCAAUCAUCUUCCGGUGCCAGCGCGGCAAGUCGACGCCUGUGUUAAAGCAAACCAAGUAUGGCCUGAGAAGGACUCCGUAUACUAUGUUUGGAUCCUAAUGGAUGAACUGCAACCUCACUUAAGAUGAUGUCAGAAGCGGAGUCCAAAGGGAGAGCUUCCAGCGACCCUCAGGAGUGCUGAGUGACCACGCCAGGUUCACUUGUGUCCGCUGACCUCUCGGAGUGGCUGGGGACUGUGGGUAAGUUCCGUCUCGGAUUUCAGAGCUCCACGGACUCGUGUUUCGAGCUCUCCGAGUUUCAUUGAGCACAUUUCCAUCCAAACCGGGUUUGGAAGUCAGGACAGAAACUGGACUGGUUCUGGGAAUGGAUUUGACCUGGUAACGAGGUGGCUUGGAUCCAGUUAGAGGCCUCUUACAUCUGACUGGGCCAGAAAGAAACUGGUAGCAAAUGGUAACAUUGCAGGGGAUGUGAAUUUCGGCUUUUAAAAAUUAACGGGGACGUCUGUGUUGCACCCGUUGUUCCAUUGUUCUUGUGCACUUAGGCAGUAAAAAAAAAGUACUGAGUUAAUCAAGGGAACCUGAGAGUAACCCCGAUAUUUUAGGCAAAAAUGGGAUCCUUCAUUUCUCAAAACCUGAGUUCCUUCUAACCUAUACAUUAGUCACGGGAAGGAACCAAGGGUUACAGAAAUGGCAAAAUCCAGCCGGGCGCAGUGGCUCAGGCCUGUAAUCUGAGGAUUCUGGGAGCUGAGGCCGGAUCACCUGAGCCCAGGAGUUUAAGACCAAGUUGGCCAACAUGGUGAAACUCUGUCUCUGCUAAAAAUUCAAGAAUUAGUGGGGCAUGGUAGCGUGUGCCUGUAGUUUCAGGUACUUGGGAGACUGAGGCACGAGAAUUGCUUGAACCCAGGAGGCAGAGGUUGCAGUGAGUGGAUAUCACAUCACCGUAGUCCAGCCUGGGUGACAGAGCAAGACUCUGUCUCAAAAAGUAAAAAUAAAAAUGGCUGGGCUUAGUGGCUCAUGCAUGUAAUCCCAGCACUUUGGGAGGCUGAGGGAUCACCUGAGGUCAGGAGUUCGAGACCCACCUGGCCAACAUGGUGAAACACAGCCUCUACUAAAAACACAAAAAAGUAGCCAGGCAUGGUGGCGCACACCUGUAAUCCCAGCUACUUGGGAGGCUGAGGCAUGAGAAUGGCCUGAACCUGGGAGGCGGAGUUUGCAGUGAGGGGAGAUUGCGCCAUUGCUCUCCAGCCUGGGUAACAAGAGCAAAACAUUGUCUCAAAAAAACAAAGUAAUGAAUAAAAUAGAAAUGAAGGAUCCCCAGAGUUAAAUCUGUUAAUCUUACGGCGUAGUUACUCUCCCGAUACCAGGGAUUGCAGCACCAACUGUCGGACUUUGGAUGAGUAAUGGGGUCCAUUUUAACCUGAGUGAAGGACGGGAUUGGGUUAGAGGCCCUCCAUCAGUCCAGUCCCCCUUGGUUAACAGUGGGUUAAAGAUAACAGGGCACAACUGGAGGUAAGUUUGAGCCUUGCAAGUCCGACAGUGGGUGCUAAGCAGAGAGGCCAGUAUCUGUGUUUUGUCACGUAUGCUGCUUUGGCGCCAGAAUGAAAAAUGUUAAUUGGCUUACCCCAUGCAACGCGUUGGGCUUCACGUUGCAAAACUGAGAGGCUUUUGCCUGAGGCUCCACCAAACAACAAAAAAAUUCCUUUAUGAUGCAGCGGGCUUGGCCCGCAGGGCUCUUAUAUGGCAGCUGGGGUCUCUAGGAGCACUCGGGCAAAGGGAACCCAGAAACCUGGCAUUGCUGACGAAAGGUAAAGGAUUUCUCAUCAGUCAGACUCUGGCCUUUCUGUCUCUGUGCAAACUGGUUAAAUGAAUGGUAAAAAUCACUGUUUAUCUCAUGUUUUGAUUCAUACAAAAAGGAAUUCUGAGACUGGUCUUAAGCUGUAAUUCAUCUGGUGUGCUUUGUGUGUCUUUCUGUAUUCUGUCACAAAGAGGGUACCUUGAGGUAAAAUGCGUGCCUAGCACCCCAUGAGCCUGCUGUUCGAGAUGACCCAGCAGAGUGGUCAAUCCUGGCCUUGGAAGCUUAACCUCCUGUGGCCAUGCUUUCUCUUUGCACAAUGGUGGCUCAGGUUCAGGGUUCAAUUCCUGCUUUACUCAAUGAGUACUUUCUGGAGUGACCUGUACCCUGUCACUUCCCUCUCCAUAUGGAACACAGAAAUAUUGGCUAUUUGGCCUAGCUGUUUUAAAAGUGGAUAUUUGGCUGGGCCUCAUGGCUCAUGCCUGCAAUGCAUGUGGGGAGGCUGAGGCAGGCAGGUCACUUGAGGUCAGGAAUUUGAGACAAGCCUGGGCAACAUGGUAAAACUCUUUAAAAAAAUAAAUUGCCUGGGCAUGUUGGCACAUGCCUGGAAUCCCAGCUACUCGGGAAGCUGAGGUGGGAAAAUCGCUUGAAAAAAAAAAUUGCCUGGGCAUGUUGGCGCAUGCCUGGAAUCCCAGCUACUCAGGAAGCUGAGGCGGGAAAAUUGCUUAGGCGGGAAAAUUGCUUAGGCGGGAAAAUAGCUUGAAAAAAAAAUUGCCUGGACAUGUUGGCGCAUGCCUGGAAUCCCAGCUACUCGGGAAGCUGAGGCGGGAAAAUCGCUUGAAAAAAAAUUGCCUGGACAUGUUGGUGCAUGCCUGGAAUCCCAGCUACUCGGGAAGCUGAGGCGGGAAAAUCGCUUGAAAAACAAAUUGCCUGGGCAUGUUGGCGCACGCCUGGAAUCCCAGCUACUUGGGAAGCUGAGGCGGGAAAAUCGCUUGAGCCUGGGAGGGCAAAGGUGCAGUGAGCCAAGAUGGUGCCACUGCACUCUAGCCCAGGCAACAAAACAAGACUCCAUUUCAAAAAAAAAUUAAAAAAUAAAAUAAAAGUAUAUAUUCAAAUUCUAAUAGCCUGGGACUCCUUGGGUAAAACAGGAGGCAUGUGAGAUGCCCUUUUGGAAAAACAAAACAAAACAAAAAAACCUGUUUUCCUCAGGAACCUCAGGAAUAGGAAAUGAAUAGAUUCACUGUCAAAAUCUACUUUUUGGGAUCCAAGAUCUGGUAAAAGAUGGGAUCCUUAAUUAUUGGAGAUCUGUUUUUUUGUUGUUUUGUUUUGGAGAUGGAGUUUCACUCUUGUUGCCCGGGCUGGAGUACAAUGGUGUGAUCUCCGCUCACCAAAACCUCCACCUCCCAGGUUGAAGCACUUCUCCUGCCUCAGCCUCCUAAGUAGCUGGGAUUACAAGCAUGUGCCACAACACCUGGCUAAUUUUGUAUUUUUAGUAGAGACUUUUUUUUACCAUGUUGGCCCGGUGGGUCUCAAACUCCUGACCUCAGGUGAUCUGGUGAUCUGCCCACCUUGGCCUCCCAAAGUGCUGGGAUUACAGGCAUGAGCCACAGUGCCUUUUUUUUUUUUUUAAAAGACAAGAGUUUCACUCUGUCAUCCAGGCUGCAGUAGUGCAAUGGCAUGAUCUCAGCUCACUGCAACCUCUACCUCCCAGGUUUAAGUGAUUCUCCUGCCUUAGCCUCCUGAGUAGCUGGGAGUACAGGGGUGCACCUUCACACCCAGCUAAUUUUGUAUUUUUAGUAGAGAUGGAGUUUCAACAUGUUGGCCAGGCUGGUCUGGAACUGCUGGCCUUGUGAUCUGGCCACCUUAGCCUCCCAAAGUGCUGGGAUUACAGAUGUGAGCCACAACGCCCAGCUUUGCCUUUCUGCUGUGCGCACUUAUUAUAUUGGGCGCUAGAAGCUAUAUGCUUUCCUCGUCCUCUUUUUUUGAAGGACUCCACCCUAAAGCCAGCAAGUUCAAACAAAUAAAUACUUCAAUCAAAUAUUUUGAAAGAAAAACUGCCUUUUAGUUUACAUAUCUGUGGGAAAUGAAAAGUUUUAGAGAUUGCUGGCAAAAAAGAGGACAUUUAGUCUAAACUGGGCAGGUCAGGUAUUAGGUUUAUUAGAUGCUUUAAGGUCAUCCACUGCUUCUUAGACAUUUGAAAAUUGUUCAGUUUACCUAUUUUGGAGCAUUCGAUUCUAUAUAAGUCCUGGGAACACGUGGAAUUAGCCAUGCACUCUAUUUAUGCAUUAAAGGUGAUAAAGAAAUGAGAUUUUUUAAAUUGAGAAAAAACCACAGGUGCUUGUGCUCCACCUACCCAGUGCAGCAGGUAAGAUGUGUUGGCAAUGCGCCUUCAGUGGAGUGAAGAGGCCACAGCAGGAUCCCACCUCGGCUGGAUGGCACACUGGCCUUCACCUUCAAUGCGCCAUGGCAGCUUUCCCGUGAGUCUCUGACUUGUGCACAUGCUAGACUCCUUGGUCUACAAGAAAGCAUCUUGUACGGUAAAUUCUUGUCUUAAAGUUAAAUAACUGGUUGGUUCAAAAGAGGGGAUGUUUAGGACAAGUCAGGAGGUCAAGCAUGUUGUAGAUGGUCUGGGUAAGUUGCGAAAGUAUUCGUGAAAGGAAAUUUAAGCACCAGAAGUAAAAGUUGCUAAGAGUUACCAUUAUUACAUGCGAUUAAAACUACUGAAAAAUAGUUUCACAUGCAAAGUGUAUGAGAAAUUGAAAUGCGUUUUUGGUAAAAGAUUUUAAGAAGGUAUGAGAAUCUAAACUUUUGCCUAGUUUAGAGGGUUAUGUGAUUGUUUUAAAUUAGAUAAGAAUAAGCUGAUGGUUUGAACAAGUUGUGGAAGGUUUGUAAAAAUUCAUCUUGUAAAAAAAAAUUCUGUGUGCAAACAUAUUGACUAAAUUCAAGGGAGUGUUUUUUUUAGUUUUCCGUAAAUUAAACAUCAAAAUAAAAUGACAAACAGGUUUCUUAAGGCACUGAUCUGUUCUUUAACAAAAUUUGUCCUUUUUCUAGACAGAGUCUUGCUCUGUCACCCAUGCUGGAGUGCAGUGAUGCAAUCUUGGCUUGCUGCAACCUCUGCCUCCUGAGUUCAAGUGAUUCUCAUGUCUUGGCCUCCCAAGUAGCUGGGACUUACAGGCACAUGCCACCACAGCCGGGUAAUUUUUGUAUUUUCUUUUUUAGUAGAGGUGGGGUUUCACUACAUUGGCCAGGCUGGUCUCGAACACCUGACCUCAAGUGAUCCACUUGCCUCAGCCUCCCAAAGUGCUGGGAUUACAAACCGAGCCACCGUGACCAGCCUCAGUUGUCAUUUUUAAUGGAUAUUUUCUGGUUGUGAGAAAGCUCUUCCAUUCAAGAGGGCUAAUAUUACAACAGUAUCUUAUUAUGUCUAAUAUGUCACAGUAUAUUUUCACCUGGUAAAGAAAGCUUUUUUUUUUUUGGAGACAGAGUCUCGCUCUGUUGCCCAUGCUGGAGUGCAGUGGCACAGUCUUGGCUCACUGCAACUUCUGCCUCUUGGGUUCAGGUGAUUCUCCCACCUUAGCCUCCUGACUAGCUGGAAUUACAGGUGCAUGCCACCUCACCCGGCUAAUUGAGUAGAGAUGGGGUUUCACAGUGUUGCCCAGGUUGGUCUCAAACUCCUGACUUCAUGAUCCACCUGUCUCAGCCUCCCAACAUGCUGGGAUUACAGGUGUGAGCCACCGCACCUGGCCAAGCUUCUUUGAGAUUUUCGUUCUUGUUGCCCAAGUUGGAGUACAGUGGUGUGAUCUUCACUCACUGCAACCUCCACCUUCUGGGUUUAAGGAAAAAAAAGAAAUACAUUCCUCAUAAUAGGCUCUAUAGAACAUUCUACUGUAAAGGCUACGGUUAUAAAACAGACUUUAAAUUCUCUUUUGAAACUUAUGCUAAAUAAUAGAAUUGGCUGAACAGAAAAGUAUCUGUGCAGCUGAUGGGUCUUAACGGGCUAUGGGAAAAACAUCAGGUAUUACAGAUAGAGAUUCACUUGUGGGGAUUAACGAAAAGACCGCUUAGUUAAGCAAGUAGACUCCUCAUGCAGCUCAUCCUUUCAUCUUUUUCAUUUUGGUUGUUUGGUUUAUGGGGGCCCUGGGGAGCAGCAUACUCUAAAUUCUUGGUAUUUUCCUCCCAAUAGUCAUAGUAACAGUCUCCCUUGUGCACUGUAUACUCUCAAAGCUUUUAAAUAUUUGUGUUCAGCCGUCUCUAGAAUGUCAAGUGAUCUCUCUUCAACUGGAAUGACAAAAGCUGAAAGAACUGCAACCGUGAGGGCACCAUAACCCAUAGAUUACAUUCUGGUGUGUUAAGAUCAGAUAUCUAAGCCUGUUAAAAAAGAGAGAGAGAGAGAGAGAAAUAAAAAAAUUGGCCGGGCGCAGUGGCUCACGCCUAUAAUCCCAGCACUUUCGGAGGCCGAGGCAGGUGGAUCACGAGGUCAAGAGAUUGAGACCAUCCUGGUCAAAAAGGUGAAACCCCGUCUCUACUAAAAAUACAAAAAUUAGCUGGGCAUGGUGAGGGCGCCUGCCUGUAGUCCCGGCUACUUGGGAGGCUGAGGCAGGAGAAUUGCUUGAACCCAGGAGGCGGAGGUUGAGGUGAGCCGAGAUCGUGCCAUUGCACUCCAGUCUCCGUAACAACAGCGAAACUCCAUCUAAAAAAAAUAAAAAUUAAAAAAUUACAUUCUGAAACCAGAAAUCCAAAAUGAUGGUGUCUGAGAGGGGUGUGAAGGCUCUAAGCUCUGGUCACAGUGAGAACCCAGAGAAAACGGGAAUUUUUAAACAGCAUUGUGAGGCUAUUGUUUUUCACUGAGCUCAUGCACUAGGCCCCAGCAAACCAAGCCAAACCAAAAUGGAGUCACUCGUGCUAAAUGAGAGAUAAUGGAACUAAGACUUUAAGGAAACACGUGGACCCUAGACCAGAACAGACCAGUUGUUUUUCUCCUGUAAACAGGAUGUUCCAGCAUAAGGUGGUGCCCUCUACUCAGGCCUUGUUCCUUCCUUUGCAAAACUCACGAUUCCACUGUUUCCCAGUGGGUUUCAAGACCAAACAGGUACAUUUAUGAUGCUUGAAUAGUAAUGUCAGUAACUAAAGUUUAAUGACCAAAAGGGGGCAAUUGUUAGGACUCCAUACUCCUGUAUUUGAGUCCUCGUGAAUGAACUGCUGCCUAACUUCAUAGCUACACAAGAUUGAAAACCUAACCUAGGAGUAUGCCGAGUCUUGGCUAACAGUCUUGGCCACUGAGUGCUCCAUAUGUGUUCAAGCUGUAACCAACCCAGCCAUUUCCGCAUCUCAUUUCCGAUUUCUAUAUAUCACUUUACCUUUUUUGUCUAUGCAUUUGUUCCGACCACGAGGCUCUCCCUGGAGUUUCUCUGAAGCUGCUGUGAUUUUGGGGACUAGCCAUUUGUGAAUCACUCAUUGCUUAAACUCCUUUAAAAAUUCAGCUGAAGUUUUUCUUUUAAUGCCUGUCUCUACACGGUGGCUACCAUGGCUCCUGCCUGUAAUCUCAGCAGUUUGGGAGGCCAAGGCCGGAGGUUUGCUACAGCCCAGGAGUUUAAGACCAGGUUGGGGCGACAUGGCAAGACCCCAUCUCUACAAAUAAAAAAAAUAAAAAUUAACCAGGCGUGGCUCACACCUGUAAUCCCAACACCUUGGGAGGCUGAGGCAGGCAGAUCACUUGAGGUCAGGAGUUUGAAACCAGCUUGGCCCACAUGGUGAAACACUGUCUUUAGUAAAAAUAUAAAAAUUACCCCAGCUGUGGGGUCUGCGCUUGUAAUCCUAGCUACAAGCUAGGACUGGAGGCUGGAGUGCAGUGGCAGGAUCUCAGCUCACUGCAAUGUCUGCCCACCAGGUUCAAGUGAUUCUCCUGCCUCAGCCUCCCAAGUAGUUGGAAUCAUAGGCGCAUGCCACCUCAGUGGCUAAUUUUUUGUUUGUUUUUUAGUAGAGACAGGGUGUCACCAUGUUGGCCAGGCUGGUCUGGGACUCCUGACCUCAGGUGAUCCACCCGCCUCAACCUCCCAGAGUUCUGGGAUUACAGGUGUGAACCACCAUGCCUGGCCUUCCUGCUGUCUUCAGAGUACCUGCAGCCACCACCAGGGGCUGAGGGCAGUGGUCAGGGACAGGCCUCAUUGUGGUUACCACUGAGGAGACCCUGUCAAUCUCUGUAGUUGUAGAUCAAGCAAUACUACGGCAGAAAUUGCAGGAGCAGAUUCUGCACCAUCUCAGAUCCAAAGAAGCUUCCCUUGCAAGUUGGUAACCUCUUGAGGGCUUCAGUAUCACGUGGAGUUGGUCUGGGUGAUGCCUGGCAUUCCAGGUGUAACAACUUGGGGAACAGUUCCAGGAUGGAGGUGAUGUUUCUGGACUGGUAUGGGAAGGUAGUGCACAGGACGUUUCUGUGUGUACACGUCUCUCCUGGCUCCAGCCCUUCCCUUGUCCAUCUGUCCUACAGAUCUCACCUUAGGCAUGUCAUCCUUGAGGACCUGCAGAAAGGCAGCCAUGUACUUUCCUAGGAUUUGAUGGCAUUUUAGGAUCACGGGUCACUGGGUCUGGCUCAGAGGCGAGUCCCUGGCUGUCAAGACUAUAUUGGGGGCUGGGCGCGGUGGCUCACGCCUAUAAUCCCAGCACUUUGGGAGGCCGAGGCAGGCGGAUCACAAGGUCAAGAGAUCGAGACCAUCUUGGCCAACAUGGUGAAACCCUGUCUGUACUAAAAAAUAUAAAAAUUAGCUGGGCAUGGUGGUGCAUGCCUGUAAUUCCAGCUACUCGGGAGGCUGAGGCAGGAGAAUUGCUUGAACCAUAGAGUCAGAGGUUGCAGUGAGCCGAGAUCACACCACUGCCCUCUAGCCUGGUGCCUGGCAACACAGUGAGACUCUCCCUUUUUAAAAAAAGUCUAUAUUGGGAGGCAUCACAGCUCUAUCUGCUUUGCCUUUUCUGACUCCAGCUCCCUCUGCAUAGAACUGGGCAUAGCAGCAGGGUUGACAAACAUUGGUAUCUCUUCGUUACCCCCAUCUUGCCGCCGACAUGCCUCAGUGCUUCCGCGACGCUGCCAUUCUCCAAAGACACGGGCCUGCGUUUUCUUAUAGUGAAACUGAAUCAGGAGGAAGGGGCAUUGCAUUGACUCUGAAUCAAAUUCAGCAGCCACUUAGGUUAUUUUACGCAGUUCUUGAACCAGCAGCUCCUUAAGGUCCUAUCUGGCCGGUUUCCCUCUGUUCUCUCUGGAGGUUUUGGUUCUCUCUCUGUGUUAACAGGGGUUCCGUCUUGUUUAUAGAAUGUGUCUCUCCAUGGUUGGGCGCGGUGGCUCGUGCCCAUAAUCUCAGCAGUUUGGGAAGCUGAGGUCAGGAAUUCCAGACUAGCCUGGCCAACACUGUGAAACCCUGUCUCUUCUAAAAGUACAAAAAAAGUAGCCAGACGUGGUGGGUACCUGUAAUCCCAGCUACUUGGGAGGCUGAGGGAGGAGAAUUGCUUGAACCUGGGAGGUAGAGGUUGCAGUGAGCCAUGAUCAUGCACUCAAGCCUGGUGACAGAGCGAGACUCUGUCUCAAAAACGCGGAAAAGAACUGAGGCUAAGAAGGGUAAAGCCAGGCUGGGCACAGUGGCUCAUGCCUAUAAUCACAGCGCUGUGGGAGGCCCAGGCGGGUGGAUCACCUGAGGUCAAGAGUUAGAGACCAGCUUGGCCAACAUGGUGAAAACCCAUCUCUACUAAAAAUACAAAAAUUAGCCAGGUGUGGUGGCAGAUGCCUGUAGUCCCAGCUACUCAGGAGGCUGAGGCAGAAGAAUCUCUUGAACCCACGAGUUGAGGUUGCAGUGAGCCAGGAUGGUACAAUUGCACUCCAGCCUGGGCGACAGAGACUCUGACUCAAUUUAAAAAAAAAAAAAAAAAAAGCAAGAUAAAGCCACUUCUUUACAGCCCCAGUUCAAAUCCAGGCUAUCUCACUUCCCAGUUAAGGAAGGGGUCUUUUCUUUUCGAGACAAGGUCUCCCUUUGUUGCCCAGGCUGGAGCACAGAUGCGAUCACCGCUCACUGCAACCUCUGCCUCCUGGCCUCAAGCAAUCCUCCUGCCUCGGCCUCCCAAGUAGCUGAUUUUUUUUUUUUUUUCUGUUUUUAACUUUUUUUCUUGUCAAAGGACUGAAUGCAGGAAAGGGUUCUUUCUGGUUUGGAACAGCGUGUGUGUGUUUUGUGUUUGUUUUCAAUAUUCAUGAAAGGGAAUGGAGUGAGCAUAAGUGCUGGAGAAACUGAACUGUCCGAAUCUAGCUGACUGACCCCUCCGUCGGUUUGCAGGGCCUUGAAUGCCAAGCUGAGGAGCUGGGACUUUAUCAUGAGGGCAGUAUGGACCCAUGGGAGGGUCUGGGCAGAGAAAGGGCAGGGUCAGCUCUGAGUGCUGGAGAGCUCUCUCUAGGGUGAUGUGGAAGAUGCCACGGAGGGCACGGGGGUGGACACCGGGAGGUCAGGGGCCUGCAGUCAUGGUCUAGACCUCAGCCAUCCAACACGGUAGCCACAAGCCACAUGUGGCUAGUGAGAGUUGAAACGUGGCUGGUCUGAAGUGAGGUGUGCCUUAAGUGUCAAAUGCGGAUCCGAUUUUGAACACCUAACUUCCAAAAAAAAGUAUGUGAUGCAAUUAAUACUUUUUUCAGGCUGGGGGAGUUGGGUCACGCCUGGAGGAUCACAUGAGGCCGGAAGUUUGAGGUUGCAGUGAGCUAUGACCACGCCACUGCACUCCAGCCUGGGUGGCAGA